GUGAUUUUAAAGUGGGACUUUAAGCAUACUAAGAUUCAUCUGUGUUUUGUAUCACUGAUAUAAAAACACUUUGGCCUUUCUGUUGUUUGCACAGUACGACUUCUCCAGAGUGAAGUGAAACAGAGACAGUAGUUGGAGCUCCUGGUCCUGAGGGAAAACCUGGAGGUUGAGGCCAACCAAUCAGACGCUGCAUGCUGGAUCUGCGCCCCCAGGAGCCCCGAGGAUCACUUUCAACAUGAGGAGAAUAAGAGCCAGAGUGAAGCUGGACUCUGCACGGGAGUGUGUAUUAAGACUUUUACAGGAGAGCGGAGCCAACAGAAAAUCCUCUUACAC